GAGGCAAUAACAGGUCUGUGAUGCCCUUAGUUAUCCUAGGUCGCACGCGCCAUACAAUGUGGCGCACAACGAGUUUCCUAGGCCGAUAGGAUUGUCUCUUAGCCAGGAUCUUGAGGGAUCCGCGUGACAUCAUGGGCAUGCAGAUGACUGCUUCGAUCAUGAGUCGUUGCGACGGUCUUGCUGUGAUGUUGUCACAGCUAAGAGACACUGGGCAAUCUGAGAGAGCGCUACGUGACUGGGCUAGACUUUUGUAAUUGUUGGUCUUGAACGAGGAAUGCCUAGUAAUCGUAGGUCAUUAUCCUGCGAUGAUUAUGUCCCUGCCCUUUGUACACACCGCCCGUCGCUCCUGCCGUGGCUCGUGCCGGUGAAGAGGGGGAGGCAGCGUCAACGGAGUAACAUCUGAUUGUACGUGGAACCCCUCUGAACCUUCGCGAGUAGAGGAAGGAGAAGUCGUAACAAGGUUUUCGUAGGUGAACCUGCGAAAGGAUCAUUAU
rnacentral:rRNA from 2 species